rnacentral:rRNA from 1 species
UACGUAGGCAGCGAGCGUUGUUCGGAGUUACUGGGCGUAAAGCGUGCGUAGGCGGUUUUCCAAGUCUGGUGUGAAAUCUCCCGGCUCAACCGGGAGGGUGCGCUAGAAACUGGGAGGCUGGAGUGCGGGAGAGGCAGGCGGAAUUCCUGGUGUAGCGGUGAAAUGCGUAGAUAUCAGGAGGAACACCGGUGGUGUAGACGGCCUGCUGGACCGUGACUGACGCUGAGGCACGAAAGCGUGGGGAGCAAACAGG